GAUGAACGCUGGCGGCGUGCCUAAUACAUGCAAGUCGAGCGAACGGACGAGAAGCUUGCUUCUCUGAUGUUAGCGGCGGACGGGUGAGUAACACGUGGAUAACCUACCUAUAAGACUGGGAUAACUUCGGGAAACCGGAGCUAAUACCGGAUAAUAUUUUGAACCGCAUGGUUCAAAGGUAAAAGACGGUCUUGCUGUCACUUAUAGAUGGAUCCGCGCUGCAUUAGCUAGUUGGUAAGGUAACGGCUUACCAAGGCAACGAUGCAUAGCCGACCUGAGAGGGUGAUCGGCCACACUGGAACUGAGACACGGUCCAGACUCCUACGGGAGGCAGCAGUAGGGAAUCUUCCGCAAUGGGUGAAAGCCUGACGGAGCAACGCCGCGUGAGUGAUGAAGGUCUUCGGAUCGUAAAACUCUGUUAUUAGGGAAGAACAUAUGUGUAAGUAACUGUGCACAUCUUGACGGUACCUAAUCAGAAAGCCACGGCUAACUACGUG
rnacentral:rRNA from 1 species